rnacentral:sRNA from 1 species
GCGGGAUGAGGUCGGAAAAGCGCAUAGACUUUUUCCGCACCCCGCUCCAAUGCCUCUUACUGAACGACCUGGACGACCGUGUAGGUUCUUGGGUCGACGAUCACGCGUUGGUUGUUCACCACGGCGAACGCGUAGGAGGGA